rnacentral:misc_RNA from 1 species
UGACUUUGAAGUUACAAAACUAUGGGAGCUUACCCUAAUGUCACAUUGUACAAGGUCCCAUAUGAUGAACCCUAAACUACCAAAACUGACAUUAUAUAAAGCAUAAUUGUAAAAUUCUCCAACUUCAGACAUACACAUGUAGGAAAAUUGUAAACUUUCUCAAUUUGACUUCCUCUUCACAAAAUAAUAAUGAUGCAAGGGGAAUUACUUCUUAUUGUACCUUCAGGCUUCCCAAGCUGAAAAAGUAACUUUGAGUUGUUAUGCUCAAAAACUAUUCUUUACUAAACCCUUACAUUCCAUUACAUUCAUUAUGCAUUAUUUAGGCUAAUAUCUCUGGGAAAUUGAACGAGUUUCUCUUCAACUUCAAAUUCAUCAUGCUCUUGUGAAACUUCGCCAUCAUCCAUUAGUAUUUUGAAAUUUAGUUACUUCUAACUUUGUUUCUUGUUCAUUGUGCUAGGAUUUUAACUAUUAAAAUCUUGCCCUCGAUCUUCCCUUUGGACAGGGCUUUCACCAAUGAUCGGAAUUGCUCAGCAUUUCAAAAUUGCUGUUAUCUCCUUCAAUUAAUUUCCCUCAUAAACUUUAGAACAAUAAAUAUCAUUUUUCUGUUGGUUGUUAUAAAACAACAGAGCAUGCAUCAUAUACUGUGCAAUAUCAGUUGAUUUGGGACUGAAUAGAUGAAAUGUUAUCAAGUCAUUCAAAUUUACAUUGUAUCAAAGUAUUAGAAUUCACAGUUAGAAAAAGAUUGUAAAACUAAUGAAUUGAAUAGGAUGGGAUUAUGGGAACCCAUUUAGUGGAGAUUUACAAGUAGAAAAUAGGUGCUGGAUUUGAAAAAUUCAGUUGCUGAAAUUUAUAAAAUAGCAAUAAAAUAAUAGAAAUGGCAACUUUAAUUCUAGUCCACAUUGUACAAGAGUCUUACACAAUGACAACCUUUAAGUCAUUUGGUGAUGUUUCAAGAGAUCUAGGAUAUGCAAAAACAAUCACAUCACAUCACUUGGUCAAAACUAAAACACAGAUAUAUGAAUAAGCCAUCAGUUCUGUUAGUUUCUGCACAAAAAUAAUGGCGAUAUCAGAUCCAGAUUGUCCAAAAUGAACGAUUCUUACUGCCUAUUUAAUGAUCCAUCUACAGCAAAUUCCAAAUCAUUAAAUGGACCAUGAAAGUUGGAAUAAACUAAUUUACCAUUCACAAUUUAGAAUGCAACAUUUAUGUUAGGGAUAAGGUCUGCACAUACAGUUAUAGGAAAAAAAAAUUAAAACAGUAAAAUUCACCAAAUAAUCUAUCACAAGGAUACAGAAGGAAGAUAAAUAUACUAUUUUCGCCAUGUCUAUGUACUCCUCCAAUUCCUCCAGUAACAAACACAGAGAUACCAACCAUUUCCUCUGGUGGCCACCUACGAAGAAAAAAUCGUAGAGAGCAAAAGUUGACAGGCAAAUUAAAACUAGCACUGGUUAAAGAAAUUUACCAGACCAAAAUCUAUAAAUAAAGAACAAUAAUAAUACAGGUAUCAAAUUAAUAUUUGAUCACACAUGCUCAAUUAACUAAGGUGUAAAUAUCAAAAUUAGUUGCUGAUGCAGCCAUCUCAAUAUAACAGCUCAGUAGUCUGCCGUCAAAAACUAUAGAAGCUUACAAUAAAGAAACAUGUGAAAAUACUUAAUGGAUAUACUCUGCUAUGGGCCCGACAUAGAGAACUAUAGGGCACAAGCAUAGGAAUUUCCCAGUUCCAUAAAACAUUUCUCAUCUGAAAACUUUUUAUAGCUAAUAACUCCAAGGAUUAAGUUUCUACUUGAUAGACAACUUAGUUAAUCAAUUAUUUGCAAUCAAGAUUUACUUUUAUAUACUAGACAUGAGAUUAGUUUGUUGAGUCCAACAGUGCUGAUCUAGUUUCAUUGUUGCAAUGUAAAUGCUAUACAUUUGACUUUCUUUGCAAUGGAGUAUAGACAUGUUAUGAUUCACAAGUUUUACGAUGAACAAUCAUAUUUAGGAUUAGACUCAUAAAUGAGUCAUUUCAAACUGUUGCAACAUUUCCUUGAGUUAUUUAGGAACUCUUAACACUAACAUACUUCGUUGAACUGUUAUAAAUCAUCAAUGCUAUUCCAUCAAAUAAAUGUUGGGAUCUAAUUUCUUCUAGUGCACCAGUAUGCAUUUCUUUAGUUCUUUUCAUUAAAUAACUAUGAGAAAAAAAAAAUUCUUAGCCUUUCUAAUCAACUCAAUCAUUUAAAAAACAUGGUGAUCUUUCAUGCAACAAUCUAAAAUAUCAAUGUUCCUAAUAUAAACAUUUCUAGGACAUAUUAUAUAUAUAAAAGCAGCCACAGCGCAAUUUGCACAAACAGAUCAAUUAAGAAAGUCUAUGCCUAUAGGAAAAGAACAGUUGAGUAAUAUUCAAAGGCACA